rnacentral:rRNA from 1 species
GAAACCGGGCGACCUACCCAUGAGCAGGAUGAAGCGAAAGUAAAAUUUCGUGGAGGUCCGAACCCACGAGCGUUGAAAAGCUCGGGGAUGACUUGUGGGUAGCGGUGAAAUUCCAAUCGAGCCCGGAGAUAGCUGGUUCUCCCCGAAAUAGCUUUAGGGCUAGCCUCAAGGUGAGAGAUACGGAGGUAGAGCACUGAAUGUCCUAGGGGGUAUUGCACCUACCGAAGACUAUCAAACUCCGAAUGCCGUCAUCUUAUACUUGGGAGUCAGACUGUGGGUGAUAAGAUUCAUAGUCGAAAGGGCAACAGCCCAGAUCGUCAGCUAAGGUCCCUAAAUGUAAGUUAAGUGGUAAAGGAUGUGGGAUUGCACAGACAACCAGGAUGUUGGCUUAGAAGCAGCCACUCAUUCAAAGAGUGCGUAAUAGCUCACUGGUCGAGUGAUCCUGCGCCGAAGAUUUCCGGGGCUAAAACUU